rnacentral:rRNA from 1 species
UACGUAGGGGGCGAGCGUUGUUCGGAUUUACUGGGCGUAAAGAGCGCGUAGGCGGUUCGAUAAGUCGGAGGUGAAAUCCCUCGGCUCAACCGAGGACCCGCAGCCGAUACUGUCGAACUUGAGUGCAGGAGAGGAGAGCGGAAUUCCCAGUGUAGCGGUGAAAUGCGUAGAUAUUGGGAGGAACACCGGUGGCGAAGGCGGCUCUCUGGACUGUCACUGACGCUGAGGCGCGAAAGCUAGGGGAGCAAACGGG